CAAUAGCGUAUAUUAAAGUUGUUGCAGUUAAAAAGCUCGUAGUUGGAUUUCUGGCCGAGUGUGCCUACCUGACGCAGCAUGACGUUUGGUCCUAGGCGCUCUGCCAUCCUUCUGUCAACCUUCGCCUUCUUCAUUGGGGGCGGCUGGGGCUCAGGAUAUUUUACCUUGAUGAAAAUUAGAGAUGUUUCAGGCAGGCUUCGCCGGAUACAUUAGCAUGGAAUAAUGGAAAAGGACUUCAACCUCUUCUGUUGGUCUGAGAGGCUGUAGUAAUGAUUAAUAGGGGAUAGUUGGGGCAUUAGUACUUAACUGUCAGAGGUGAAAUUCUCCGAUUUGUUAAAGACUAACUUAUGCGAAAGCAUUUGCCAAGGAUGUUUUCAUUAAUCAAGAACGAAAGUU
rnacentral:rRNA from 1 species